GACGAACGCUGGCGGCGUGCUUAACACAUGCAAGUCGAGCGGAGCGGCGAACGGGUGAGUAACGCGUGAGUAACUGCCCCCCUCUCUGGGAUAACAGUUGGCAACGGCUGCUAAUACCGGAUAGUGGGGGAUGACUCGCGUCCGAUCCGGUUGUGGGUGGGGUAGUGGCCUACCAAGGCGACGACGGGUAGCCGGCCUGAGAGGUGGACCGGCCACAUGGGGCUGAGAUACGGCCCAAACCACUACGGGAGGCAGCAGUGGGGGAUAUUGCACAAGGGGGGAAACCCUGAUGCAGCAACGCCGCGUGCGGGAGGACGGCCUUCGGGUUGUAAACCGCUUUCAGCCAUGACGCGGUAGUGGCAGAAGAAGCACCGGCUAACUACGUGCCAGCAGCCGCGGUAAUUC
rnacentral:rRNA from 1 species